GCAAAGUUCAAAAAUUUCUGGGCUCAUUCUGUGGAGAGACAAAAAACAAAGUAUUCUACCUUGGACACAGCACCACUUGCUGAAGAGCAAACUGGGGGACAGGACAAGACAGAAGAGAGAGUUCACAGAAAAUUGCAAGCUUUACUAUUUUUGAAAACCUUGGUGAUAUAGGCCUCGGAUGAUGGGAGGUCCAAUCAGAGAAGCUCAAGCACCAUUCGCCUCUGAGUCAGUCAAUGAGAGACCAGCAACGAGUACAUUGUCCUGUUUUUGGAAAACGGAAACCUUCAUGUCUUGCACCUCGGCAUCAUGGGGAUGCUGGAAGUGUCCAAUCAGAGCAGCCCAAGCACCACUCUGGACCGGCUCAGCCAAUGAAAAGCCUGCAGCUCCUGAGGUACAGCCAUUGACUCAAAAGUGUGAGGAGGUGUCCUGGGCUGAAGUAAUAGGAGUCUUCCCGGCACAUGCAGCCUUUGAGAUUGAGAGGGGAAAGGGAUAUGAUUCUUUGCCAUUGGGCCAAAUGUUACAAUGUGACACAGUGUAAUCCAGUAACAGCCUUCUUGGGAGAUUUGGCCUUUAGAGAUUAUGGAGUAUAGUGGAACGUUUCAUUCCCUGUGGUUUGUUUGCUGGCUGGUGUUUAAUCAUGGUGAUUUAAUGAUAUGAAUUCAGAGACUGCGCUGGACGGUCUUUUGUCCCUUGCAUCAAAUAUGGCAAGAGGUUGAUUACUAAUAUUUCAAGUAAGAUUUUUAUACCUUCAUUUGUAAAUGGAGCUCUUCAGAAAUUGGAAUAGUAAGUUUUCUUCACUGCUUGUAUCAUUCCGUUACAUUUUCUAGUAAUAAAAAUUAGCUUUUCCUCCUUCAUGACUGAAACCAUUCUAUUGGCAGUAGAAUUAGCUGUCCCUUAAAUGUCCAAGAGGAAACAUGAUUAGACGCCUAGUCACUGUGCAUGAAACCACACUGAUGACACCCAUUUCUUCAAUUUUUCUAAAGUCCCUUUUUGGUUCAACUUCUGUAAUUUAUUUCUACAUAAAUACAUUUAAGUAUGCCUUUGAUUGUAUUAACCUGGACUCUUGAAAGUAAUUUGAUUUUCAUUUUUAAAUAUUUCCCAUUUACUGAUUCCAUUUUUUCUCCCUAUGUUGGUUUC